GGGGAUGUAGCUCAGUGGUAGAGCGUCCGCUUCGCAUGCGGAAGGCCCGGGGUUCGAUCUCCCGCAUCUCCA
rfam:Nematostella vectensis strain CH2 x CH6 NEMVEscaffold_161_Cont16368, whole genome shotgun sequence.